UACGGGGGGCAGCAGUGGGGAAUAUUGCGCAAUGGGGGAAACCCUGACGCAGCAACGCCGCGUGAGCGAUGAAGGCCUUCGGGUUGUAAAGCUCUGUCAGAUGGGAAGAAACCCCGUUACUCUAAUACGGUAGCGGACUGACGGUACCAUCAAAGGAAGCACCGGCUAACUCCGUGCCAGCAGCCGCGGUAA
rnacentral:rRNA from 1 species